UUUGCGGGUUUGGCGGAAUUGGCAGACGCACCAGAU
rnacentral:rRNA from 1 species